AGUCGAGGGGUAACAUAGAAAAGCUUGCUUUUUUGAAGACGACCGGCGCACGGGUGCGUAACGCGUAUACAACCUACCUUUUAGCGGGGAAUAGCCCAGGGAAACUUGGAUUAAUGCUCCAUAGUAUAUAGACUUCUCCUGAAGUUUAUAUUAAACAUUUAUGGCUAUUAGAUGGGUAUGCGUCCUAUUAGUUAGUUGGUAAGGUAACGGCUUACCAAGGCAGCGAUAGGUAGGGGUCCUGAGAGGGAGAUCCCCCACACUGGUACUGAGACACGGACCAGACUCCUACGGGAGGCAGCAGUGAGGAAUAUUGGACAAUGGGCGAGAGCCUGAUCCAGCCAUGCCGCGUGCAGGAAGACUGCCCUAUGGGUUGUAAACUGCUUUUACAGAGGAAGAACCACCCCCACGUGUGGGGGUUUGACGGUACUCUGCGAAUAAGGAUCGGCUAACUCCGUGCCAGCAGCCGCGGUAAUACGGAGGAUCCAAGCGUUAUCCGGAAUCAUUGGGUUUAAAGGGUCCGUAGGCGGGCAGUUAAGUCAGUGGUGAAAGUCUUCCGCUCAACGGGAGAACUGCCAUUGAUACUGAUUGUCUUGAGUUAUUAUGAAGUGGUUAGAAUGAGUAGUGUAGCGGUGAAAUGCAUAGAUAUUACUCAGAAUACCGAUUGCGAAGGCAGAUCACUAAUAAUAUACUGACGCUGAUGGACGAAAGCGUAGGUAGCGAACAGGAUUAGAUACCCUGGUAGUCUACGCCGUAAAC
rnacentral:rRNA from 1 species